GUCCACGCCGUAAACGAUGAGUGCUAGGUGCUGUGGGUAUUGAUCCCCGCGGUGCCGCAGCCAACGCGUUAAGCACUCCGCCUGGGGAGUACGGCCGCAAGGCUAAAACUCAAAGGAAUUGACGGGGGCCCCGCACAAGCGGUGGAGCAUGUGGUUCAAUUCGACGCAACGCGCAGAACCUUACCUGGGUUAAAUCCACCAGAACCUUGCAGAGAUGUAGGGGUGCCCUUCGGGGAACUGGUGAGAAGGUGCUGCAUGGCUGUCGU
rnacentral:rRNA from 1 species